rnacentral:rRNA from 1 species
GAAACACCCGGUUCCAUUCCGAACCCGGCCGUUAAGCCGCCCUGGGCCGAUGGUAGUAUGGGGGCAGCCCCAUGCGAGAGUAGGUAGCGCCCGGGGAUUUGUUUUUUAUGAAGGGGCUCUUUCAAGAG